UUGGCCCUGGCCCAGAUCGUUUACCGUGAAAAAAUUAGAGUGUCCAAAGCAUGCAGAUCCAAUUUUCUGCCCCCGAAUACAUUAGCAUGGGAUAAUGGAAUAGGACCCUGUCCUCCUAUUUUCAGUUGGUUUUGGCAGCGCGAGGACUAGGGUAAUGAUUAAUAGGGAUAGUUGGGGGCAUUAAUAUUUAAUUGUCAGAGGUGAAAUUCUUGGAUUUAUGAAAGAUUAACUUCUGCGAAAGCCUCUGCCAAGGAUGUUUUCAUUAAUCAAGAACGAAAGUUAGGGGAUCGAAGACGAUCAGAUACCGUCGUAUUCUUAACCAUAAACGAUGCCGACCAGCGAUUAGGAGACGUUGAAUACAAAACACCACUAUCGUUGCGGUGGGCCUUGGCGUCGGUCUUUCGGGGCCGGCGAGGGGGCGGCUAGCCCGGUGGCUCCG
rnacentral:rRNA from 1 species